AGCGAACGCUGGCGGCAUGCCUAACACAUGCAAGUCGAACGAGAUCUUCGGGUCUAGUGGCGCGCGGGUGCGUAACGCGUGGGAAUCUGCCCUUUGGUUCGGAAUAACAGUUGGAAACGACUGCUAAUACCGGAUGAUGACGAAAGUCCAAAGAUUUAUCGCCAGAGGAUGAGCCCGCGUAGGAUUAGCUAGUUGGUGUGGUAAAGGCGCACCAAGGCAACGAUCCUUAGCUGGUCUGAGAGGAUGAUGAGCCACACUGGGACUGAGACACGGCCCAGACUCCUACGGGAGGCAGCAGUGGGGAAUAUUGGACAAUGGGCGAAAGCCUGAUCCAGCAAUGCCGCGUGAGUGAUGAAGGCCUUAGGGUUGUAAAGCUCUUUUACCCGGGAUGAUAAUGACAGUACCGGGAGAAUAAGCUCCGGCUAACUCCGUGCCAGCCGCCGCCGUAA
rnacentral:rRNA from 1 species